rnacentral:rRNA from 1 species
GAUGAACGCUGGCGGCGUGCUUAACACAUGCAAGUCGAGCGAAGCACCUAAGAAAGAUUCUUCGGAUGAAUUCUUUUGUGACUGAGCGGCGGACGGGUGAGUAACGCGUGGGUAACCUGCCUCAUACAGGGGGAUAACAGUUAGAAAUGACUGCUAAUACCGCAUAAGACCACGGUACCGCAUGGUACAGUGGUAAAAACUCCGGUGGUAUGAGAUGGACCCGCGUCUGAUUAGCUAGUUGGUGGGGUAACGGCCUACCAAGGCGACGAUCAGUAGCCGACCUGAGAGGGUGACCGGCCACAUUGGGACUGAGACACGGCCCAAACUCCUACGGGAGGCAGCAGUGGGGAAUAUUGCACAAUGGGGGAAACCCUGAUGCAGCGACGCCGCGUGAAGGAUGAAGUAUUUCGGUAUGUAAACUUCUAUCAGCAGGGGAGAAAAUGACGGUACCUGACUAAGAAGCCCCGGCUAACUACGUGCCAGCCGCCGCAGUAA